GCUGAGAGAGGAGGUGCUCAGAGGCUCUGACCAGGCUGUGGUAGGGAAAUGCACUCCCACUAGGAGAUAACAGGAGGUCUCUCCCACUAGGAGAUAACAGGAGGUCUCUCCCACUAGG